rnacentral:ribozyme from 1 species
UUUGCCUGUAGUUGUGAACAAAAAAUGGGAUCCGAAGACCUCCGAGGGAUAAUACAGGCUCUCCCAUCCAACUCCUAUUCCGACACGUCCUUGUCGUACAGAGUGGUAACAUGUGCCCCCAUACAUCCUAGCUUGGGUACACCUUCAACUAGAUCCAACCCCUUCAACCAGAUCGACCACGUUAUAAUAAUACGUG